rnacentral:rRNA from 1 species
AAGGCGUAGUCGAUGGGAAACGGGUUAAUAUUCCCGUACUUGGUGUUACUGCGAAGGGGGGACGGAGAAGGCUAUGUUGGCCGGGCGACGGUUGUCCCGGUUUAAGCGUGUAGGCUGGUUUUCCAGGCAAAUCCGGAAAAUCAAGGCUGAGGCGUGACGACGAGGCACUACGGUGCUGAAGCAACAAAUGCCCUGCUUCCAGGAAAAGCCUCUAAGCAUCAGGUAACACGAAAUCGUACCCCAAACCGACACAGGUGGUCAGGUAGAGAAUACCAAGGCGCUUGAGAGAACUCGGGUGAAGGAACUAGGCAAAAUGGUGCCGUAACUUCGGGAGAAGGCACGCUGACAUGUAGGUGAAGUGAUUUACUCAUGGAGCUGAAGUCAGUCGAAGAUACCAGCUGGCUGCAACUGUUUAUUAAAAACACAGCACUGUGCAAACACGAAAGUGGACGUAUACGGUGUGACGCCUGCCCGGUGCCGGAAGGUUAAUUGAUGGGGUCAGCGCAAGCGAAGCUCCUGAUCGAAGCCCCGGUAAACGGCGGCCGUAACUAUAACGGUCCUAAGGUAGCGAAAUUCCUUGUCGGGUAAGUUCCGACCUGCACGAAUGGCGUAAUGAUGGCCAGGCUGUCUCCACCCGAGACUCAGUGAAAUUGAACUCGCUGUGAAGAUGCAGUGUACCCGCGGCAAGACGGAAAGACCCCGUGAACCUUUACUAUAGCUUGACACUGAACAUUGAGCCUUGAUGUGUAGGAUAGGUGGGAGGCUUUGAAGUGUGGACGCCAGUCUGCAUGGAGCCGACCUUGAAAUACCACCCUUUAAUGUUUGAUGUUCUAACGUGGACCCGUGAUCCGGGUUGCGGACAGUGUCUGGUGGGUAGUUUGACUGGGGCGGUCUCCUCCUAAAGAGUAACGGAGGAGCACGAAGGUUGGCUAAUCCUGGUCGGACAUCAGGAGGUUAGUGCAAUGGCAUAAGCCAGCUUGACUGCGAGCGUGACGGCGCGAGCAGGUGCGAAAGCAGGUCAUAGUGAUCCGGUGGUUCUGAAUGGAAGGGCCAUCGCUCAACGGAUAAAAGGUACUCCGGGGAUAACAGGCUGAUACCGCCCAAGAGUUCAUAUCGACGGCGGUGUUUGGCACCUCGAUGUCGGCUCAUCACAUCCUGGGGCUGAAGUAGGUCCCAAGGGUAUGGCUGUUCGCCAUUUAAAGUGGUACGCGAGCUGGGUUUAGAACGUCGUGAGACAGUUCGGUCCCUAUCUGCCGUGGGCGCUGGAGAACUGAGGGGGGCUGCUCCUAGUACGAGAGGACCGGAGUGGACGCAUCACUGGUGUUCGGGUUGUCAUGCCAAUGGCACUGCCCGGUAGCUAAAUGCGGAAGAGAUAAGUGCUGAAAGCAUCUAAGCACGAAACUUGCCCCGAGAUGAGUUCUCCCUGAGACUUUAGGUCUCCUGAAGGAACGUUGAAGACGACGACGUUGAUAGGCCGGGUGUGUAAGCGCAGCGAUGCGUUGAGCUAACCGGUACUAAUGAACCGUGAGGCUUAACCUU